GUCUAUGGCCAUGCCACCCCGAACGUGCCCAAUCUCGUCUGAUCUUGGAAGCUAAGCAGGGUUGGGCCUGGUUAGUACUUGGAUGGGAGACAACCUAGGAAUACCAGAUGUUGUAGGUG
rnacentral:rRNA from 1 species